rnacentral:rRNA from 1 species
AUGAGGUUCAGGUUCCUGCUGUUGAUCAACCGUUGCUUCGGUCGAGUGCGAACCCGGAUAAGUUGCUGCUCCAAACCAGACAAUUUGGAGGAUGAACGCGAGUCUCCCAGCGAUGCCAUGGAAGAAGAAAGUAUUCGCUCCAGACGUAGAUGUCUAGCUUGCCUGUGUGCUGUAACAUUAAUCAGUGCAUCGGGCCCAAAGUUUUCUAUCAUUGGAACCUUGAUGAUUUAUCUCAUUUGA